UGCCAGCAGCCGCGGUAAUACGAAGGGACCUAGCGUAGUUCGGAAUUACUGGGCUUAAAGAGUUCGUAGGUGGUUAAAAAAGUUGGUGGUGAAAUCCCAGAGCUUAACUCUGGAACUGCCAUCAAAACUUUUUAGCUAGAGUAUGAUAGAGGAAAGCAGAAUUUCUAGUGUAGAGGUGAAAUUCGUAGAUAUUAGAAAGAACACCAAUUGCGAAGGCAGUUCACUGGACCGUGAUCGACGCUGAGGAGCGAAAGCUAGGGGAGCAAACAGGAUUAGAUA
rnacentral:rRNA from 1 species